ACAAAACAAAACAAAACAAAACAAAUCAGUCUCAACAACGUGGCGAGUGUAAAGCUAGCAGUGGCUGUGUGAGACACUGUAACACAACAAAACCCCACCCCCAGUGAUCUGAAGCAGGGCCCCAGAAUUCACAUCUCUGACCAGUCACCAGUAUUGCGACUGUUGCUCAUGUUCCUGCUAGAGCAAAGGUCUUGGAGAAGGAAGUUUGCGGAAGACAGGGCGUCACUGGCGCCGCAGCGGGUCUUGUAGCGCUGCUACAGUGAAGUCAGGAUCCAGGGAGCAAAGAAACAGAUGACAGAAAAUCUUAAAUGUUAUUUCAUAAGUAGAUGAAGCAAGAGAGAGUGUUUAUAAUACUGGAGUUCAAACAACUUUGCUUCGAUUCAUCUUGUCACUGUUCUCUAGUUAUGAGGGGGGCUACAGCGUCGAGAAACUGCGCAGACAACAAAAUGUGAGCUAUACACGGAUGCAGGAAACAAGGAGAAAUGUUCCUUUGGGGUUUUCGCCAAUUAGAGAAAUCCGGAGGAGAGAAGCAGGGCAGUGGCGGCACAGCGGAAACAGUGUUGGAGAUUGAAGCUACUCUUCCUCCAGCUCGUGAGGCAAGCUUCUACCACUUACUCUGCCUUUAUAAAUGUCCGUCUGUCCACUUUACAGACAAGGAAAGUGCUGGAAGUCGAAUUUAAGUUGAGCUUGGUUAUUCUAAGGCUCUCUGCUCAGCACUGGUUAGCCUUGGAUGGACUGCAGACAGACAGGAAAAUGUGCUCAGAAUAAAAGGUGUUCUUAAAACUGUAAGACAUGGCUGGCACAAUAGCCAAGCCAGUCAAAGCUCGAGCCAUGCCAGCUGAUGACCUGAGUCUGAACCCUGGAACCCACGGUGGGAGAAGAGGAAUAGCCGUGCCCUCCAUGCACGGUGUAGCAUGCACACAGGCACACAUUCACAUGCCUGUGAGUGUGCACACACACAGUAACAAUAGUGAAUAUAAGUAAGAGUGAAUUAUGUGAUGAGCUGUAAUCCCAGUGUUUGGGCAACAGAAACAAAAAAUAUCAGGAAUUCAAGGUCAUCCUGUCAACUACACAACAAGUUCAAGGCCAGCCGGAGCUCCGUGCCAGUCUGUGCUGAAAAAGAAGAAAAACCUAAGAAGAGAUGACAAGACAGGGAAAGGGAAAGGUGGCAAGAAGGAAGGAAGGACGGACAGAAGGACAGACAGGAAAUACACAGACAAUCAGAGGGUGGUUGCCAAUCUGAUGUCCUCAGCCUUCCUGGCCUAUUUCACGUCCUCUCAGCGACCUGCACACACAGGCCCUGUUUGUUCUGUUCCUUACCACGGCUCUCAUUUUACUUCUCUGGCUGCUUGCUAACCCAUUCUUCAGCAUCCUGUGUUUCUUACCUGUCAUGCAGGACAGGAUCACAAGUUCAAGGUCAUCUGUAGCCACAGAAGGAAUUGGAGGCCAGCCUAGGCUACAUAAGACUCUGCCUCAAAACACAAAAGAAAAAAAAAAAGUCCAACACAGCUAAACUAGAUCUGAAUCCAACUUUACUUAUUUUUAAAGUAUGUUUAGAUUUUUUGUUUUGUUUAUUAUUCCUCUGUGGGGUGGG